rnacentral:lncRNA from 1 species
CUCAACCAUAUGUGACCCAGACGAAUCGUGUGAGAUCCACGCCUGAAUUACACCUGAACCAUGUGUGAGCAAUGCAGGAAGCACAUGGGAGACUCCCUUGAACCACAUCUGAAGGACCUGUGAUUCUGGCGAGUCGAGCAGGUGGUUCCGGUGUGCUCAGCAGGUGGUUCAGUCAGGUCUGGCAGGUGGUUCUGGUCUGUCCGGGAGGUGGUUCCGGUGUGUAUGGCACAUGUUUCUGGCAUGUCUGAGACAUGGUUCCGGCAUGCCCGACAAAUGAUUCCAGAGUGUCUGCCAAGUGGCUCUGGCAUAGCUAGCAGGUGAUUUUGGCGUGUAUGGCAGGUGGUUCCAGUGAGACGAGCAAGUGCUACUGGUGUGCUCAACAGGUGGUUAACGCGUGUCCGCCAGAUGGUUCCUGUCUGUCCGUGAGGUGGUUCUGGCGUGUCCGGCACAUGGUUCUGGCAUGUCUGAGAGGUGGUUCCUGCAUGCCCGGCAGGUGAUUCCGGAGUGUCCGCCAAGUGGUUCUGGCGUAGCUGUCAGGUGAUGUUGGCGUGUCCGGCAGGUGGACCGGGCGAAUCGAGGUGGUGAUUCCGGCGUGCUCGGCAUGUGGCUCAGGCAUGUCUGGCAGGUGGUUCCGGUCUGUACGGCAGGUGGUUCCGGUGUUUUUGGCACGUGUUUCUGGCACAUCUUAGAGGUGGUUCCAGCAUGCCCAGCAGGUGAUUCCAGAGUGUCGGCCAAGUGGUUCUGGUGUAGCUGGCAGGUGAUUUUGACGUGUCUGGCUGAUGGUUGUGGCGAAGCGAGUAAGUGAGUCCGGUGUUCUCGGGAGGUGAUUCCGGCGUGUCUGGCACAUGGUCCUGGCACGUCUGAGAGGUGGUUCCGACAUGCCCGGCAGGUGAUUCCGGAGUGUAUGCCAAGUGGUUCUGGUGUUGCCGGCAGGUGAUUUUGGCCUGUCCGGCAGGUUGUUCCGGCGAGUCGAGCAAGUGGUUCCAGCGUCCUCCGCAGGUGGUUCUGAAUUGUCCGGCAGGUGUUUCCGGUCAGUCCGUUAGGUGGUUCCUGCGUGUGAGGCACGUGGUUCUGGCGCGUCUGAGAUGUGCUUCCGGUAUGCCCGGCAGGUGAAUCUGGAGUGUCCACCAAGUUGUUGUGGCGUAGCCGGCAGGUGAUUUUGGCUUGUCCGGAAUGUGGUUCUGGCGAGUUGAGGAGGGGGUUCCGCCGUGCUUCACAGGUGGUUCAGGCGUCUCCAGCAGGUGGUUCCGUUCUGUCCAGGAGGUGCUUCUGGCGUGUCUGGCAUGUUUUUCUGGCACGUCUGAGAAGUGCUUCUGGCAUGCCCGGCAUGUGAUUCUUGAGUGUCCACCAGUGGUUCUGGCGUAGCCAGCAGGUGAUUUUGGCAUAUCCUUCAUGGGGUUCCAGCGAGUCAAGCAGGAGUUUCCGGCGUGCUUGGCAGGUGAUUUUGGUAUGUCUGGCAGGUGGUUGUGGCGAGGCGAGCAGGUGGGUCCAGCAUGCUCAGCAGGUGGUUCUGGCGUGUCCAGCAUGUGGUUCCAGUCAGUCCGGUAGGUGGUUCCGGCAUGUCCGGCACGUGCUUCCGACAUGUCUGAGAGGUUGUGCCAGCAUGCCCCGCCGGUGAUUCUGGAGUGUCCGGCAAGUGGUUCUGGUGUAGCUGGCAGGUGAUUUUGACGUGUCCGGCAGGUGGGUCCACUGAGUCGAGCAGGUGGUUCUGGCAUGCUCGACAGGUGGUUCAGACGUGUCUGGCAGGUGGUUCCUUUCUGUCCUGUAGAGGGUUCCGGCAAGUCCAGCACGUGGUUCUGGAACACCUGAGAGGUUGUUCCGGCAUGCCUGGCAGGUGAUUAAGGAGUGUCCGGCAAGACGUUCUGGCUUAGCCAGCAGGUGAUUUUGGUGUGUCCGGCAGGUGGCUCUGGCGUGUUGAGCAGGUGGUUCCGGCUUGCUUGGCAGGUGCUUCCGGCGUGUCCGGCAGGUGGUUCCUGUCUGUCCGGGAGGUGGUUCCGGCGUGCUUGGCAGGUGCAUCAGGCGUCUCCGGCAUGUGCUUCUAGCACAUCUGAGAGGUGGUUCCGGCAUGCCCGGCGGGUGAUUCCACAGUGUCCGGCAAGUGGUUCUGGUGUAGCCGGCAUGUGAUUUUGGCGUGUGAGGCUGUUGGUUCCUGCGAGUCGAGCAGGUGGUUCCGGCAUGCUCGACAGGUUAUUCAGGCAUUUCAGGCAGGUGCUUCCGGUCUGUCUGGAGGGUGGUUCUGGCGAGUCGAGCAGGUGGUUCCGGCGUGUGUGGGAUGUGGUUCUGGUGUGUCUGAAAGGUGGUUGCGGCAUGCCCUUCAGGUGAUCCCUGACUGUCCCCCAUGUGGUUCGGGCAUAGCCUGCAGGUGAAUUUGGCAUGUCAAGCAGGUGGUUCUGGUGAGUCGAACAGGUGGUUCUGGCAUGCUGGACGUGUCCCGCAGCUGUUCCCGUCAGUCCAGGAUGUGGUUCCAGCAUGUGUGGCAGGUGAUUCCAGAGAGUCCGCCAAGUGGUUCUGGCGUAGCCGGCAGGUGAUUUUGGUGUGUCCGGCAGGUGGUUCUGGCGAGUCGAGCAGGUGCUUCCGGAGUGCUUGGCAGGGGAUAUGUCGUCUCCGGCACGUGUUUCUGGCACAUUUGAGAGGUCCUUCUGGAAUGUAUGGCAAGUGGUUCUGGCGUAGCCACAGGUGAUUUUGGUGUGUCCGGCAGGUGGUUCCAGCAAGUCGAACAGGUGGUUCCAGUGAGCUCGGCAGGUGCUUCCACAGUCUCCAGCCCGUGGUUCUGGCCCGUCUGAGAGGUGGUUCCGGCAUGCCCGGCAGGUGACCCUGGACAGCCUGCCACGUGGUUCUGGCAUAGCUGGCAGGUGAUUUUGGCGUUUCCGGCAGGUGGGUCCUGGUAGUCAAGCAUGUGGUUCUGGCGUGCUCAGCAGGUGGUUCAGGUGUGUCCGGCAGGUGGUUCCAGUCUAUCCAGGACGUGGUUCUGGCGUGUCUGGCACAUGGUUUUGGUACGUCAGAGAUGUGGGUCCGGCAUGCCUGGCUGGUGAUCCCAGAGUGUCCGCCAAGUGGUUCUGGCAUAGCCGGCAGGUGAUUUUGGAGUGUCUGGCAGGUGGUUCUGGGGAGUGGAUCAGGUGGUUCCGGCGUGCUCGGCAGGUGCUUCUGGCGUGUCCAGCAGGUGGUUCAGGUGUGUCUGGAGGGUGGUUCCAGCGUGUCCGGCACGUGGUUCUGGUAUGUCUGUGAUGUGGUUUCGGCAUGCCCAUCAGUUGAUUCCGGAGUUUCCGCCACGUGGUUCUGGCACGUCUGAGAGGUGGUUCCGGCAUUCCUGGCAGGUGAUCCCAGAGAGUCCUCCAAGUGGUUCUGGCGUAGCCGGCAGAUGAUUUUGGUGUGUCCGGCAGAUGGUUCCGGCAAUUCGAGCAGGUGCAUCCGGCGAGCUCGGCAGGUGCUUCUGGCUUCUCCGGCACGUGGUUCUGGCACGUUUGAGAGGUGGUUCCGGCAUGCCCGGUAGGUGAUUCUGGAGUGUCUGGGAAAGUGGUUCUGGCAUAGAUGGCAGGUGAUUUUGGCGUGUCCGGCAGGUGGGUCCUGCGAGUUGAGCAGGUGGUUCCGUCUUGCUCGCCAGGUGGUUCAGGCGUGUCUGGCAGGUGAUUCUGUCCUUUCCGGUAGGUGGUUCUGCUGUGUCCGACAUGUGUUUCGGGCAGGUCUGAGAGGUGGUUCCGGCAUGCACUGCAGGUGAUUCCGGAUUGUCCACCAAGUGGUUCUGGUGCAGCCGGCAGGAGAUUUUGGCAUUUUCAGCAGGUGGGUCCUGCGAGUCGAGCAUGUGGUUCUGGCGUGCUCGCCAGGUGGUUCAGGCAUGUCCGGCAGGUGUUUCCAGUCUAUCCAGGACAUGGUUGUGGCGUGUCUGGCACAUGGUUCUGGUACGUCUGAGAUGUGGGUCUGGCAUGCCCAGCAGGUGAUUCCGGAGUGUCCGUCAAGUGGUUCUGGCAUAGCUGGCAGGUGAUUUUGGCGUGUCCGGCAGGUGGUUCUGGGGAGUGAAUCAGGUGGUUCCGGCAUGCUCGGCAUGUGCUUCUGGUGUCUCCGGUAUGUGGCUCUGGCUCGUCUGAGAGAUGGUUCUGGCAUGCCCAGCAGGUUAUCCCGGACUGUCCCCCACGUGGUUUGGGCGUAGCCUGCAGGUGAAUUUGGCGUGUCAAGCAGGUGGUUCCGGUGAGUCGAGCAGGUGGUUCCGGUGUGCUGGGCUGGUGGAUCAGGCAUGUCCUGCAGGUUGUUCCCGUUGGUCCGGGAUGUGGUUCCGGCGUGUCCGGCAGGUGGUUCCUGUCCGUCCGGGAGGUGGUUCUGGCAUGCAUGGCAGGUGAUUCCAGAGAGUCUGCCAAGUGGUUCUGGCGUAGCCGGCAGGUGAUUUUGGCUUGUCCAGCAGCUGGUUCUGGCGAGUCGAGCAGGUGGUUCGGGCGUGCUCGGAAGGUGGUUCAGGCAUUUCCGGCAGGUCGUUCCAGUCUGUCCAGGACGUGGUUCCUGUGUGUCCUGCACGUGGUUCUGUUACGUCUGACAGGUGGUUCUGGCAUGCCCGCAGGUGAUUCCGGAUUGUCCACCAAGUGGUUCUGGCAUAGCCGGCAGGUGAUUUUGGCUUGUCCCACAGGUGGUUCCGAAGAUUCGAGCAGGUGCUUCCGGCGAGUUUGGCAGGUGCUUCAGGCGUCUCCGGUAUGUGGCUGUGGCACGUCUGAGAGGUGGUUCCGGCAUGCCCAGCAGGUGGUUCAGGCAGGUCCGGCAAGUGGUUCCGGUCUGUCCAGGAGGUGGUUCCGGCGUGUCCGGCAUGUGCUUUUUGCACGUCUGAGAGCUUGUGCCGGCAGACACCGAACGUUAUUCCGGCUUGUACGCCAAGUGGUUCUGGCACAGCCGGCAGGUGAUUUUGGCAUGUCCAGCAGUUGGGUCCGGCGAGUCAACCAGGUCGUUCCGACGAGUCUGGCAGGUGGUUCCUGUCUGUCUGGGAGGUGUUUCCAGCGUGUCUGGCACGUGCUUCUGGCACGUCUGAGAGGUGCUUCCGGCAUGCAUGGCAGGUGAUUCCGGAUUGUCCAUCAAGUGCUUCUGGCGUAGCAGGCAGUUGAUUUUGGCGUGUCCGGCAGUUGGCUCCUGCGAGUUGAGCAGGUGGUUUCUGCGAGCUUGGCAGGUGCUUCCGGCGUCUCCAGCACGUGGGUCUGGCACAUCUGAGAGGUGGUUCUGGCAUGCCCGGCAGGUGAUUCCAGAAUGUCCGGCAGGCGGUUCUAGCAUAGCCGGCAGGUGAUUUUGGCAUGUCCAGCAGGUGGAUCCUGGGAGUCGAGCAGGUGGUUCCUGCGUGCUCAGAAGGUGCUUCCUGCGACUGCAGCACGUGUUUCUGGCACGUUUGAGAGGUGGUUCCAGCAUACACGGCAGGUGAUUCUGGAGUGUCCGCCAAGUGGUUAUGGCGUAGCCGGCAGGUGAUUUUGGCGUGUCUGGCAGGUGGUUCUGACGAGUCGAGCAUGUGGUUCUGGCGUGUUCGGCAGGUGGUUCAGGCAGGUCCCGCAGGUGGUUCCAUUCCGUCCGGGAGGUGGUUCCGCCAUGCGAGGCAGGUGAUUCCAGAGAGUCCGGCAAGUGGUUCUGGCGUAGCCAUCAGGUGAUUUUGGCAUGUCCGGCAGGUGGUUCCGGAGAGUCAACCAGGUGGCGCCAGCAUGCUCUGCAGGUGCUUCUGGCGUCUCAAGCACGUCUACCUGGCACGUCUGAGAUGUUGUUCCGGCAUACCCGACAGGUGAUUCCGGAUUGUCCACGAAGAGGUUCUGGCUUACCCGACGGGUGAUUUUGGUGUGUCCGGCAGCUGGUUCCGGCGAGUCGAGCAGGUGGUUCCGGCGAGCUCGGCAGGUGCUUCCGGCGUCUCCGGAGCGUGGUUCUGGCACGUUUGAGAGGUGGUUCCGUCAUGCCCGACAGGUGAUCCCGGAGAGUCCUCCAGGUGUUUCUGGCGUAGCCAGAAGGUGAUUUUGGCAUGUCCGGCAGGUGGUUCCAGCGAGCUCAGCAGGUGCUUCCAGCGUCUCCAGCACAUGAUUCUGGCACGUCUGAGACGUGCUUCCGCCAUGCCCGUCAGGUGAUACAGGAGUGUCCGACAAGUGGUUCUCAUGCAGCCGGCAGGUGAUUUUGGCCUGUCUGGUAGUUGGGUCCUGCGAGUUGAUCAGGUGGUUCCGGCGUGCUCGGCAGGUGGUUCUGGCGAGUCUGGCACUUGGUUCUGGCACCUCUGAGAGGUGGUUCCGGCAUGCCCGGCAGGUGAUUCUAGACAGUCCACCACGUGGUCCUGGCAUAGCCGGCAGGUGAUUUUGGGUGUCUGGCGGUGGUUCCGGCAGGUCGAGCAGGUGGUUCCGGCGUGCUUGGCAGGUGGUUCCGGUGUGUCCGGCAUUUGGUUCCAGUCUUUCCAGGACGUGGUUCUGGCGUGUCCAGCACAUGGUUCUGGUACGUCUGAGAGGUGGGUCCAACAUGUCCGGCAGGUGAUUCCAGAGCAUCUGCCAAGUGGUUCGGCCAUAGCCGCAGGUGACUUUGGCAUGUCCGGCAGGUGUUUCUGGGGAGGGGAUCAGGUGGUUCAGGAAUGCUUGGCAGGUGCUUCCAGCAUCUCCUGCAUGUGCUUCUGGCAUGUCUGAGAGGUGGUCCCGGCAUGCCCAGCAGGUGAUUCCAGAGUGUCCAAGAAGUGGUUCUUGUGUAGCCAGCUGGUGAUUUGGGCGUGUUGGGCUGGUGGUUCCGGUGAGUCUAGCAGGUUUUUCCGGCGGGCUCGGAGGUGGUUCAGGCGUUUUGGGCAGGUUGUUCCAGUCUGUCCUAUAGGAGCUUUCGGCGUGUCCCAUACAUGAUUCUGGCACGUCUGAGAGGUGGUUCUGGCAUGCCUGGCAGGUCAUCCCGUAGAGUCCUCGCAGUGGUUCUGGUGUAGCCGUCAGGUGAUUUUGGCAUGUCCGGCAGGUGGUUCCAGCGUGCUUGACAGGUGGUUCAGGCAGGUGCGGCAGUUGGUUCCGGUCUGUCCAGGAGAUGGUUCUAUCACGCCUGGCAGGUGAUUCCAAAGAGUCCGCCAAGUGGUUGUGGCUUAGCCAGCAGGUGAUUUUGGCAUGUCCGGCAGGUGAUUUUGGUGUGUCCGGCACUUGUUCCAGCAAGUCGAGCAGGUGUCUCCGGCGUGCUCAGCAGGUGGUUCCAGCGUGUCCGGCAGGUGGUUCCGGUCUGUCCGGUAGGUGGUUCUGGCACGUCUGAGAGGUGGUUCCGGCAUGCCGGGCAUGUCUUCCCAGAGAGUCCUCCAAGUGGUUCUGGCGUAGCCCCCAGGUGACUGAGGUGUCCGGCAGGUGGUUCCGGCAUGCUCGGCAGGUGGUUCAGGCAGGUCCUGCAGGUGGUUCCGGUCUGUCCAGGAGGUGGUUCCGGCGUGUCCAGCAUGUGGUUCUGGCAUGUCUGAGAGGUGGUUCCGGCAUGCCCGGCAGGUGAUUCCGGAGUGUCCAGCAAGUGGUUCUGGCGUAGCCGGCAGGUGAUUUUUGCGUGUCCGUUGGUGGUUCCAGCGAGUCGAGCAGGUGGUUCCGGCAUGUCCGGCAGGUGGUUCCGGUGUGUCCUGGAGGUGGUUCCGGAGUGUCUGUCAUGUGCUUCUGACACGUCUGAGAUGUGCUGGCAUGCCCGGAACGUUAUUCUGGUUUCUUCGCCAAGUGGUUCUGCAUAGCUGGCAGGUGAUUUUGGCGUGUCCAACAGGUGUGUCCAGUGAAUCAAGCAGGUGGUUCCAGCGAGUCUGGCAGGUGGUUCCCGUCUGUAAGGGUGGUGGUUCCGGCGUGUCCGGCACGUGCUUCUGGCACGUCUGACAGGUUGUGCUGGCAUGCCCGGCAGGUGAUUCCAGAGUGUCCACCAAGUGCUUCUGACAUAGCCUGCAGGUGGUUCCGGCAUGCUCGGCAUGUGGCUCAGGCGUGUCCGGCAGGUGGUUCCGAUCUGUCUGGGAGGAGGUUCCGGAGUGUCUGGCACGUGUUUCCGGCACUUCUGAGAAGUGGUUCCUGCAUGCCCGGAAGGUGAUUCCUGAAUGUCCGCCACGUGGUUCUGGCGUAGCUGGCAUGCGAUUUUGGCGUGUCCGGCAGGUGAUUCCGGCAAGUCUAGCAGGUUGUUCUGGCGUGCUCGGCAGGUGGUUCAGAUGUGUCCAGUAGGUGGUUCCAGUCUGUCCAGGAGGUGCUUCCAGGGUGUCCGGCAUGUGGUUCUGGCAUGUCUGAGAGGUGGUUCUGGCAUGCCUGGCAUGUGAUUCUGGAGUUUCCGCUGAGUGGUUCUGGCUUAGCUGGCUGGUGAUUUUGGCAUGUCCAGCAGAUGGUUCCGGCGAAUCGAGCAGGCGGUUCUGGAGUGCUCAGCAGGUGGUUCAGACGUGUCCAACAGGUGGUUCCGGUCUGUCUGGGAGGUGUUUCCGGCGUGACAGGCACGUGGUUCUGGUACAUGUAAAGGGGUUUCCGGUAGGCCCCACAGGUGAUUCCGGAGUGUCUGCCAAGUGGUUCAGGCGUGGCCGGCAGGUGAUUCGAGAGUGUCCACCAAGUGGUUCUGACAUAGCCUGCAUGUGGUUCCGGCAUGCUCAGCAGGUGGUUCAUGCAUGUCUGGCAGGUUCUGGCACUUCUGAGAAGUGGUUCCGGCAUUCCCCGCAGGUGAUUCCGGAGUGUCUGCCAAGUGGUUCUGGCGUAGCCAGCAGGUGAUUUUGGCGUGUCCAGCAGGUGGUUCAGGCGAGUCGAGGAGGUCGUUCCGGUGUGCUCAGCCGGUGGUUCAGGCAGGUCCGGCAGGUGGUUCCAGUCUGUCCGGCAGGUGGUUCUGGCAUGUCCAGCACAUGGUUCUGGCACGUCUGAGAGGUGGGCCGGCAUGCCCUACAGGUGAUUCUGGAGUGUCCGGCAAGUGGUUCUGGCGUAGCUGGCUAGUGAUUUUGACGUCUCUGUCUGGUGGUUCUGGCGAGUUGAGCAGGUGGUUCCAGCGUUCUCAGAGGUGGUUCAGGCGGGUCCGUCAGGCGCUUCUGUUCUUUCUGGGAGGUGGUUCCGGCGUGUCCAGCAUGUGCUUCCUGCACGUGUGAGAGGUGGCUCCGGCAUGCCUGGCGGAUGUUUCCAGAGAGUCCACCAAGUGGUUCUGGCAUAGCUGGCAGGUGAUUUAGGCGUGUCCGACAGGUGGGUCCGGCGAGUCAAGCAGGUGGUUCCGGCGAGUCCAGCAGAUGGUUGCUGUAUCUCAUGGAGGUGGUUCAGGCAUGUCCGGCACAUGCUUCUGGCACGUCUGAGAGGUUGUGCCGGCAUGCCCGGCAGGUGAUUCCAGAGUGUCCGGCAAGAGGUUCUGGUGGCGCCAGCAGAUGAUUUUGGCAUGUCCGGCAUGUGCUUCCGGUGAAUCUAGCAGGUGGUUCCGGUGUGCUCGGCAGGUGGUUCUGGCAUCUCCAGCACCUGUUUCUGUCACGUCUGAGAUCUGGUUCCGGCAUGCCCAGCAGGUGAUUCCGGAGUGUCCACCAAGUGUUUAUGGCUUAGCUGGCAGGUGAUUUUGGCGUGUCCGACUGGUGAUUCCGGCAAGUCGAGCAGGUGGUUUCGGCAUGCUCUGCACAUGGUUCAGGCGUGUCCGGCAGGUGUUUCCAGUCCCUCUGGGAGGUGGCUCCGGAGUGCUGGGAAGGUGCUUCCGGCGUCUCCUGCACGUGCUUCUAGCACGUAUGACAGGUGGUUCUGGCAUGCCCAGUGGGUGUUACCACAGUGUCCAGCAAGUGGUUCUGGCGUGCUUGGCAGGUGGUUCAGGUGGGUCUGCCCGGUGGUUCCAGUAUGUCUGGGAUGUGGUUCCGGCGUGUCCAGCACGUGCUUCUGGCACGUCUGAGAGGUUGUGCUGGGAUUCCUGGCAGGUGCUUCCAGACUGUCCGGCAAGUGGUUGUGGUGUAGCCGGCAGGUGAUUUUGGCAUGUCCGGCAGGUAGUUCCAGCGAGUCGAGCAGGUAGUUCGGGCAUGCUCAGCAGGUGGUUCACCAUGUCCGGCAAGUGGUUGCAGUCUAUCCAGGACGUGGUUCUGUCAUGUCUGGCACAUCGUUCUGGUACGUCUGAGAUGUGGAUCUGGCAUGCCCGGCCGGUGAUUCCGGAGUGUCCGGCAGGUGGUUCUGCAGAGUGGAUCAGGUGGUUCAUGCAUGCUCGGCAGGUGCUUCCAGCAUCUCCGGCAUGUGCUUCUGGCACGUCUGAGAGGUGGUUCCAGCAUGCCCGCCAGGUAAUUCCGGAGUGACCAACAAGUGGUUAUGGCAUAGAGGGCUGGUGAUUUUGGCGUGUCUGGCAGGUGGUUCCGGCGAGUCGAGCAGGUGGUUCCAGCGGGCUCGGCAGGUGGUUCAGGCAUUUCGGGCAGUUGGUUCCAGUGGGUCCUGUAGGUGCUUUCAGUGUGUCCUGCACAUGGUUCUGGCACUUCUGAGAGGUGGUUCCGGCAUGCCCGGCAGGUGAUCCCGGACUGUCCCCAACGUGGUUCUGGCAUAGCUGGCAGGUGAUUUUGAUGUGUCCAGCACGUGGUUCCGGUGAGUCGAGCAGGUGGUUCCGGCGUGCUGGGCUGGUGCUUCAGGUGUGUCCGGCAGGUUGUUCCGGUCUCUCUGGUAGGUGGCUGUGGUGUGCUCAGCAGGUGCUUCCGGCAUCCCCGGCGCGUACUCCUAGCACGUCUGAGAGGUGGUUCCGGCAUGCCCGGCGGGUGAUUCCACACUGUCCGGCAAGUGGUUCUGGUGUAGCCAGCAGGUGAUUUUCGUGUGUCCGCGAGGUGGUUCCAGCGAGUCGAGGAGGUGGUUCCGGCGUGCUCAGCAGGUGGUUCAGGUGGGUCCGGCUGGUGGUUCAGGUCUGUCUGGGAGGUGGUUCCGGCGUGUCCAGCACAUGGUUCUGGUACGUCUUAGAGGUGGUUCCGGCAUGCCCGACAGGUGAUUCCGGAGUUU